CAUACCUAUUCGAAGGGAUAGGGUCGGCUCGGCCGGAUUUUACACAAGUGUUGCAUGGCUGUCGUCAGCUCGUGUCGUGAGAUGUUGGGUUAAGUCCCGCAACGAGCGCAACCCUCAUCCUUAGUUGCCAUCAGGUAAUGCUGAGUACUUUAAGGAAACUGCCAGUGAUAAGCUGGAGGAAGGUGGGGUUGAUGUCAAGUCAUCAUGGCCUUUAUGGAGUGGGCUACACACGUGCUACAAUGGUGUCUACAAUGGGUUGCAAGGUGCGCAAGCCUGAGCUAAUCCCUAAAAGACAUCUCAGUUCGGAUUGUACUCUGCAACUCGAGUACAUGAAGUUGGAAUCGCUAGUAAUCGUGGAUCAGCAUGCCACGGUGAAUACGUUCUCGGGUCUUGUACACACUGCCCGUCACGCCAUGGGAAUUGGUUUCACUCGAAGCU
rnacentral:rRNA from 1 species